GAUGAACGCUGGCGGCGUGCCUAAUACAUGCAAGUCGAGCGAACAGACGAGGAGCUUGCUCCUCUGACGUUAGCGGCGGACGGGUGAGUAACACGUGGAUAACCUACCUAUAAGACUGGGAUAACUUCGGGAAACCGGAGCUAAUACCGGAUAAUAUAUUGAACCGCAUGGUUCAAUAGUGAAAGACGGUUUUGCUGUCACUUAUAGAUGGAUCCGCGCCGCAUUAGCUAGUUGGUAAGGUAACGGCUUACCAAGGCAACGAUGCGUAGCCGACCUGAGAGGGUGAUCGGCCACACUGGAACUGAGACACGGUCCAGACUCCUACGGGAGGCAGCAGUAGGGAAUCUUCCGCAAUGGGCGAAAGCUUGACGGAGCAACGCCGCGUGAGUGAUGAAGGUCUUCGGAUCGUAAAACUCUGUUAUUAGGGAAGAACGAAUGUGUAAGUAACUAUGCACGUCUUGACGGGACCUAAUCAGAAAGCCACGGCGAACUACGU
rnacentral:rRNA from 1 species